GAUGAACGCUGGCGGCGUGCCUAAUACAUGCAAGUAGAACGCUGAAGGAAGGAGCUUGCUCUUUCCGGAUGAGUUGCGAACGGGUGAGUAACGCGUAGGUAACCUGCCUGGUAGCGGGGGAUAACUAUUGGAAACGAUAGCUAAUACCGCAUAACAGUAGAUGUUGCAUGAUAUCUACUUAAAAGGUGCAAUUGCACCACUACCAGGUGGACCUGCGUUGUAUUAGCUAGUUGGUGAGGUAACGGCUCACCAAGGCGACGAUACAUAGCCGACCUGAGAGGGUGAUCGGCCACACUGGGACUGAGACACGGCCCAGACUCCUACGGGAGGCAGCAGUAGGGAAUCUUCGGCAAUGGACGGAAGUCUGACCGAGCAACGCCGCGUGAGUGAAGAAGGUUUUCGGAUCGUAAAGCUCUGUUGUAAGAGAAGAACGAGUGUGAGAGUGGAAAGUUCACACUGUGACGGUAUCUUACCAGAAAGGGACGGCUAACUACGUG
rnacentral:rRNA from 1 species